AUUGAACGCUGGCGGCAUGCUUUACACAUGCAAGUCGAACGGUAACAGGCCGCAAGGUGCUGACGAGUGGCGAACGGGUGAGUAAUGCAUCGGAACGUGCCCAGUCGUGGGGGAUAACGCAGCGAAAGCUGUGCUAAUACCGCAUACGAUCUAUGGAUGAAAGCGGGGGACCGUAAGGCCUCGCGCGAUUGGAGCGGCCGAUGUCAGAUCAGGUAGUUGGUGGGGUAAAGGCUAACCAAGCCAACGAUCUGUAGCUGGUCUGAGAGGACGACCGGCCAAACUAGGACUGAGACACGGCCCAGACUCCUACGGGAGGCAGCAGUGGGGAAUUUUGGACAAUGGGCGCAAGCCUGAUCCAGCAAUGCCGCGUGCAGGAAGAAGGCCUUCGGGUUGUAAACUGCUUUUGUACGGAACGAAAAGGUUUGGGUUAAUACCCUGGGCCGAUGACGGUACCGUAAGAAUAAGCACCGGCUAACUACGUGCCAGCCGCCGCAGUAA
rnacentral:rRNA from 1 species